UACGUAGGCAGCGAGCGUUGUUCGGAAUUACUGGGCGUAAAGAGUGUGUAGGCGGUGCUCUAAGUUCGGUGUGAAAUCUCCUGGCUCAACUGGGAGGGUGCGCCGGAAACUGGAGUGCUUGAGCGUGGGAGAGGAAAGCGGAAUUCCUGGUGUAGCGGUGAAAUGCGUAGAUAUCGGAAGGAACACCAGUGGCGAAGGCGACUACCUGGCUCGAUACUGACACUGAGGCGCGAAAGCGUGGGGAGCAAACAGG
rnacentral:rRNA from 1 species